UCCCCACAAGAGCCCUAUGAGGAGGGAAAGC
rnacentral:piRNA from 1 species